rnacentral:rRNA from 1 species
UACGGGGGGGGGCAAGCGUUGUUCGGAAUUACUGGGCGUAAAGGGCUCGUAGGUGGCCAACUAAGUCAGACGUGAAAUCCCUCGGCUUAACCGGGGAACUGCGUCUGAUACUGGAUGGCUUGAGUUCGGGAGAGGGAUGCGGAAUUCCAGGUGUAGCGGUGAAAUGCGUAGAUAUCAAGUGGAACACCAGUGGCGAAGGCGAGUCCCUGGACAACUCCUGACACUGAGGCACGAAAGCUAGGGGAGCAAACAGG